UACAGAGGUCCCAAGCGUUGUUCGGAUUCACUGGGCGUAAAGGGUGCGUAGGUGGCCAGGUAAGUUCGGUGUGAAAGCUCGGAGCUUAACUCCGAAAUGGCAUUGAAUACUAUCUAGCUAGAGGGUCGGAGGGGAGACUGGAAUUCUCGGUGUAGCAGUGAAAUGCGUAGAUAUCGAGAGGAACACCAGUGGCGAAGGCGAGUCUCUGGACGACUCCUGACACUGAGGCACGAAAGCCAGGGGAGCAAACAGG
rnacentral:rRNA from 1 species